UCAUUAACAACCAUCAAGCCUGGCUUGCCGUUGAGUCCCGCCCGUGACAGGGCCGGCUCGAAAGACAGCGACGGUGUCGGUCGGACCCUAGAUGCAACGAGCUCUGAGUAGCAUGCAUCGACGUGGCCGGCCGCGCCCGUCCAACCCCCUUUCUAUCUCAGGUUGACCUCGGAUCAGGUAGGAAUACCCGCUGAACUUAA
rnacentral:misc_RNA from 1 species